GCGGAAGGAUCAUUAUUGAAAUUAUAGGCGAGGGUUGUAGCUGGCCUCUCGGGGCAUGUGCACGCCUGAGCCCUUAAUCCACACACACCUGUGAACCUAUUGUAAGGGCCCUUAAAAAAGGCCUUUACGUCUUAUCAUCAACCCAUCGUAUGUCUCAUAGAAUGUAAAUAUAUGUCCUCGCCUUAAAAAGCGUUGAUAAACUUAUACAACUUUCAACAACGGAUCUCUUGGCUCUCGCAUCGAUGAAGAACGCAGCGAAAUGCGAUAAGUAAUGUGAAUUGCAGAUUUUCAGUGAAUCAUCGAAUCUUUGAACGCACCUUGCGCUCCUUGGUAUUCCGAGGAGCAUGCCUGUUUGAGUGUCAUUAAAUUCUCAACUCCGAUCGAUUUGUUUCGACUUCGGAGCUUGGAUUUGGAGCGUGCUGGCGUCGGUCGGCUCCUCUUAAAUGCAUCAGCGGAAUCUAACGUUUCGGAUGUCAGUGUGAUAAUCAUGUUGCGCUGUCUGUCUGAUCCGAAAGCCCGCUCAC
rnacentral:rRNA from 1 species